AAGGAGAGGCUCGACGAGGCCCUGGGCAACCUGGUCUAGUUGGGGGUGUCCCUGCUGACUGCGGGGAGGUCGGACUAGAUGACCUUUGGAGGUCCCUUCUGGCCUGGGCAAUUCUAUGAUUCUACUGAUGCUCCUGGUGAACACACUGCUGCAGAGCACCUACGAUGUUUCAGGAGUGACACCACAGUCUUUUUUGAGAACAUGCAGAACGCUUAGGUCCAUGGGGUUUAGCCCAGUAUGAACAGGGAGAUUAAGAUUUAAACACCUAAGAUUUUUUUGGUGAUACCUGCUGUAGGGAAGAAAUUACUGGCCGCAUCCUCAGCUGGUGUGAGCGAUCAGAGAGAUCUCCAAUCAAAGCUGAUACUCUGGAUUUUUUUACAGGCCGAGUCUAGUCCUUGUACCCACGUACUCAAACUUUGGAGGGACUUGGUUCUGAACUGGGGACUUUGGCCUCAAAUGACGGAAAACUAUACUGCAAAUUAAAGAACAUUAAAUGUUCUUUACCCGAAGUGCAUUUUCAGACAGAUUUAAAACCAGGCCCCAUUCAAGGACUACUCCUUGUCUUUAGACCAGGAGGGAGCGGAACACGGCUCAUUGGUUCCAGCACAGAAAUAGAAACACAGCUACAAACCUGAGAAGCCCGUUGUAACUACGGGCAAAGCUUUAUAUCACCUUUAUAUGCUAAAAUGUGGUCAUUGUAGACAAAUGUUUCAGGCGUUACUGAAUAAUGUCCCCAUCAUAAAAGCAUUUGUGACUCUUAAGAGAACCUGGUGUUUUGCUGAAGGCUGGUUCUUGCCUGGCAAUGGAAGAAAGGCUUCUUUCGAAACCUGCUGGCCAUCUGGAAGAGUGACUGUCCCAUUUAAUGCAGUGACUGUCCCAUUUAAUGCAGCAUCUCACCAGCAGUGCUUGCUUCAGUGAGAGUUUCUUUUGUGAUGAGUCCUUUUCUGUGAGCUCAGUCCCUGUGACUUGCCCCAUCCACAGGUGUCCCCGGUGCUAGAGCAGAGUCUCUCGUGUUGUAAGACUAUAAAUAAGGGUGAAAUCUCUGUGUUCCGUUAAGCUCCCGCUGCACAGUGACACAGAUGACAUCCUUUUAAUUUCUUUUCCAAGGCAGGAGGCCGUGCCCUGGGGCCCUCUGCUGAGUGGACCCUGCUCCUGUUGCCGGGUGGAAAUUAAAGGAGGAGAUCAGGGGAGGGCAGUUGCUUAUUUCUGUCGCCUGCUGCCCACUUGUCCUUUCUGACCUCUUCAGAUACGACAUCGAAAUUAUAAUGACUUCCUAAGUACAGUUAAGAGCAGGAAAACAUUUACGAUGCACAGAGAAAGAAAGGGUAUUGUGGAAUCUGCUGUUUUGGAACAAAAGAACAAAGAAUUUCUGUGGCCUUGAUUUUUUGUAAUUAAGACAAGGUGGUACAGACUGCCCCCUCCCUAACAUAUACAUCCACUUUGUUUUCAGCAAGAAAACACAGCAAGAGCAUCCCUCCCUCACCCGUAACAAGACUACAGACAUAGGUAUUGUGAAGUGCUUUAUGUUAUAAAAAUGUGCCCGGUGGAUAAAUUGUUUAUCACUUUAUCUGAUCCUAAACGAGGUGGGAAGGGUUGGGUUGUUUUUAUUUGGGUCUUUUUAUCCCCUCCCUCCCAUUCAGCAAGAAAAAGCUUGCUGCAAAAAGCCAGACUGUUCUUUGUACAGAGUAAAGGACCGAACCAUCUCGCAAGACUUGGUUCUAGUGGCACGUCUGAGCACUGUGACAGGUUACCUUAGUGUUUCCAUGAUAUUGUACAUAUUUUUGAGAUAUUCUAUUUAGUCAUAUUUUAUAGGAGCAUUAAAAAGCUAUCGGCUAAUUAAUCACUUUUACACUUGUAUAAUUCAGAGCUUAGUUUAAAAAAAAAUAAAUAUGGCAAACAAUGUUUUUGUGUUCCGCUUGCAUUAGCAUUUUGAAAAGCAACAUUUAAAGAGUGAAACUAUAUUAAUAAACUGAUUAGUGUGGUACGUACCGCUGGGCUUGAAAAAGGGACGUGGUAUCCAGCUCCCACCCAGGCUGGGGGAAAAGUUCUAUUAAUGUUAACUAUUACCAAAACUGAAACUAAUUGCAGUCUCUUGCAUCAGUUUGUACUGGAUCUUGCAAAGGAUUGGAAUCCAGGCAAUGAGUUUGCUCAUUAACCAUCUUGUGAAAUUCUUAUAUUUGAUCACUCAGAUCUGCAUUUGGAAUUGUUGGGUUUUUUUCGGGAUGCCUGGCAUAAAAGACUCGGUUUCUUAAAGGGUGAUUGUUCAUGAUUCUAAAAAUUAGAUCCACUUUAGAAGUCUCGUUGGAAACGUAAGCUCUGAGCUCACCGAUUCCUUUUGAAACAACAGGCUUUAACCUCUGUUUGAUUAGACAAGGCAGUAAUAGCCAUCUUCUUACAGAGUAAUUUAGAGGUGAAAUGCUCUAUAGGAGGCCUGAUUUACUCUUCGCUGUGGAGCACAAGUGAGCUUUCCCCAGGUACAUGAAGGUUCUUCACCUGAUCCUAUUCCUGAUUAAAGUUAGUGCUUUCAGACCGCGGCCUCUAAAGAACCUUUACUAAAUUCAUUUUGGUCCCUUCUUUAGUGGUAAAUGUUUUACCACUAAACAUUUAGCCAUUUAAGACUUUCUCUCACGUACUAGUACGAAUUGAAGACCUUUGCAUUUCCUUGAUUUCCCUCUGCCUAAGGAAUCCUAUUUAGUUCUGUUUUACCCAAAAAGCAAAACCAGGUACGGAUUAAGAGUCCCACACAGCCCCUCGGUCAUACUCAUCCUCAUGCGAUGCACUUGAAUAACUAGUUAUACUAGCAAAAAAAAAACCCACAAAAAACUCCAAAUCCAGGCACUACUUUUCCCAUUUUAGCUCAUUUUCUAGGGGGAGUACAGCAGCUUUCAAAUAUUCUCAGCUCCUCUUAAAAGGAGAUGUUUUUUUCUAACGUGAGCUGUGCUCUUUUUUAAAAAUACAUGUGGACUGUGGUAUUGAGGGGUUCAGUGACGAGGAAGUGUUGUAAAAGCUCUUUCCCACAGGUCUAUUUGAAGCCUGGAGUGUAUUUGCUUUGGCUUGGAGGGGAGCUCGCACUGCUAGAGGUAGAGCAGCAGCAGCAAUCCCCAGGGAAGGGCAAGAACCUCCACUGCACAGAUGCUCCAAAGCACUAGAAAAAAAAAUAUAAAAAACAACCUUAAUUAGUCUCUCCCCUUUUGUCAGUUUGUUCAGUCGCUACACAGAGAUUCUGGGGCUGCAGAGUCAGGGGCUUCCUCACUCACCCGAGUAAGAGUGUCCUGCAAGAAGGAUUAAACUUCUCUAUUAUUAUUAUACACCAGAAAAUCAGCCUUGUUUUAACAAAUUAUUGUAAUCGAUCAUUUAUCUAGUAGGAGCAAGUUGUGUCUACGUUAGUGUCACACAGACGUGUUCUCUUCACUGUUUGGUUAAUGAAGGUCGAUGUUCUGAGUCCAUUUUAGAGCAGAGCUCUUGUUCAGAAACUUCUGAAAGAAAUGCCAUUUGUAACGACUGACGGAUCCUUUAAGUGUCAACCUGGCAAGUUGUCCUACUGUGGGUAGCUGCAGAAAUAUUUCAUGUAUGUUGUUGUAGAUUUAAAGAACAUUUACUCAUGUUUUCAUUCGAGUGUCUGCAUUUCUGACACAGAUGUGACAUAUCUGUAUAUAUUAUAAAUCAAUACUAUUUUUAACCACAUAUUUUGUACAAAUAUUCACAUUAGCUCUGUACUUCAGUGAAAAUCUAUUACGGUAUUAAACAUUUUGGUGGAAUUAGCAAA